rnacentral:rRNA from 1 species
CAGGCUUAACACAUGCAAGUCGAACGAGAAGGUACUUUCGGGUACUGGACAGUGGCGCACGGGUGAGUAACGCGUGGGAAUCUACCAUGGAGUGGGGGAUAACAUUUGGAAACGAAUGCUAAUACCGCAUACGCCCUACGGGGGAAAGAUUUAUUGCUCUAUGAUGAGCCCGCGUUAGAUUAGGUAGUUGGCAGGGUAAUGGCCUACCAAGCCGACGAUCUAUAGCUGGUCUGAGAGGAUGAUCAGCCACACUGGGACUGAGACACGGCCCAGACUCCUACGGGAGGCAGCAGUGGGGAAUAUUGGACAAUGGGCGCAAGCCUGAUCCAGCCAUGCCGCGUGAGUGAAGAAGGCCUUAGGGUUGUAAAACUCUUUCAACUGUGAGGAUGAUGACAGUAGCAGUAGAAGAAGCACCGGCUAA